AUUGAACGCUGGCGGCAGGCCUAACACAUGCAAGUCGAGCGGAGCGGCGGACGGGUGAGUAAUGCCUAGGAAUCUGCCUGGUAGUGGGGGAUAACGUCCGGAAACGGGCGCUAAUACCGCAUACUAUCAGAUGAGCCUAGGUCGGAUUAGCUAGUUGGUGGGGUAAAGGCCUACCAAGGCGGUGACGGGUAGCCGGCCUGAGAGGGUGACCGGCCACAUUGGGACUGAGACACGGUCCAGACUCCUACGGGAGGCAGCAGUGGGGAAUAUUGCACAAUGGGCGCAAGCCGGAUGCAGCCAUGCCGCGUGUAUGAAGAAGGCCUUCGGGUUGUAAAGUACUUUCAGCGGGGAGGCGUUACCCGCAGAAGAAGCACCGGCUAACUCCGUGCCAGCAGCCGCGGUAAUUC
rnacentral:rRNA from 1 species